ACCGCGUGACAUGUACCGCACCGAGUUCCUCCUCGUCUUCCUCGAGAAGGAGCCCGAAAACUCCGAGCGCUUCCUCUUCGAUUUAAUUUUUCUCCCGGCCUCCGUGAUCUCGGCGAGAGGGGUAGGCUGAGGGAUUCCCUUGUCCUCCUCCCUCUCCUCCUUUGCGGGGUGUCGUUCAUUCUUUGAUCGACGAGAGGCGAAGGAUUUAUGCUCUUCUUCUUCUUCCCCAGUUGGAUGAUGGUGUGAGGAUUUGAAAUUUUUCUUUGGGUGGGGGGGGGGGGGGGGUGUUGGAGUUUGUGCGGCGGGAGCUCUGAUUUUUUGGGAGGGAUGGCGAGCGAUCUGCCAAUGAGCGCGGAGCUGGAGCAGAUUGAUGGCGAGAUCACCGACAUCUUCCGACCCUUCAAAAUGGAUUCCAGAAAUUGGAUAAGAUUAAAGAUUCUAAUAGACAGUCUAAGCAAUUGGAGGAGCUCACUGGAAAAAUGAGGGAAUGUCAGCGGUUGAUUAAAGAGUUUGAUCGUGAAAUCAAAGAUGAAGAAAGUGGAAAUACUCCUAGUUUAGUUUGAAAUUAAUUUCGAGGUUGAAACUCGAGAUCAAGCUUGAUACUUUUUAUUAUUUCGUGCUUGAUUCAAGUUUAAUUUUGGACCAAGCGAAACAAUCUAAUUAAUAAGUUUGAAACUCUUAUAUUGGGCUUGAAACCAAUUCAAGC